CGCAGCGGGCACAACCGCAAAAACCCUACCCCCAAUCCACAGCGCCACUCCCUCCCUCCUCCUCCUCCCUCCCUCGUCUGCCGCCGCCACUCCCUCCCUCCUCGUCGCCCCUGCCUCCGCCCUAGGAGCUUCGCCGCCUCCCGCGCGCUCGUUCUCUCCCUCGUCUCCUCUUCUUUGUGCUUCCGCCACAGCCUCCGCUUCCCUCCUCCCUCUCACCGGCUUCAUCUCCCCCACCUCCAUCUCCCUACCUCCGCACCUACCAUGCUAAAUGGACGAGAAGGCACCAUCUCGGGAGGCAGGCCACACCUUCCAUGACGGUGCCCUGAUCUGCCGGAUCUUCCUCCUCAUCAGUCCAACGCAGAGGAUUGGCGGAUUCGCCUCAUCUUUGGCGUCAUCGACCAGAGAAGGUGUUUUUUUUCUUCUAGGCCGAUGGAUGGGGUAGGCGAAGAGGAGUGGCGGAUCUGCGUCCUCUUCGGCAUGUAGUUGUGAUCUCCAUUGUUGUGAGCUCGUCGCCUGUUGAGUUUGAUGUCGUUCUUGCACCGGUGUUGCUGCCGUGGAGGGCUUGGUUUAAUUUUUUGUGUGUGUGUGUGUGCAGCUUGUCUACGGUGGGAUGGGGAUUCAGAGGAUAAAUUUUAUUGGCAGUAAGAAGUUAAGAGGUCAAGCGUGAGACGUCACAUGUCAAGGGAGAUUUUAGUUUUUUCGUGUCUGUGUGUGCAGCUUGUCUACGGUGGGAUGGGGAUUCAGAGGAUAAAUUUUAUUGGCAGUAAGAGGUUAAGAGGUCGAGCGCGAGACGUCACAUGUCAAGGGGAUUUAGUAUUUAGUCUCUUCUAAUCUGUGAAGAGAGACUACUGGUUAAAGGGAAUCGAUACUUUAACAAGGUUUCUUCCAAUUCAACAAAGUCAGCUAUGGAGCUUUUCGAGGCAGCAGGACAUGAUGCCGCACGGAGAUGGGGAUGGCCAUGCCCGCCCCGAUGCCGCCGGCCGAUGUCAGUGAGAGUAUCACCACCGACAACGGCUCCAACGAGCUCUCCAUGAGCUCCUGGGACGACACCAACUCCAACAUCAUGUUCUUCGUGCCUGGAAGCAAGAAGGCCAAGGUGCUCAUCAAUGGUGACAACGGCAUGGUCACCAACUUCAGCAAAAUCAAAUCCCAAUUUGGCCUGUCGAGCACGUCUUUGGACAUGCCCGGCAUGGGCGGCUACUUGCAGCCGCAGCAGGACUUCGUCGCCUGCAUAGUCUUGAGACAAGCGUGUCUGCGCCACUCACCCGUGAAGCAUCACUAAGAGGCAAAGAAGAACAAGCAUUAGCAAGAGGCUAAGGAGGCUGCAAGACCUUGUGCCCAACAUGGACAAGCUAUUCUCUCGGAGAAGUCGUUCAAUACAAUUGCUGGAAACAUGUUAAGUUUCUUCUUGAAGACGCAACAAACAAAUACUUCAGACAUGCUGGAUAUUGUUGUAGACUACAUCAAAGGGCUGUAGGACUGAACUGAGGUAUGCUCCACGCAGACACAAAGGUUAUAUAGCACACGUUUCCAGGAGGCCUUGUUAAAAAAUAUCAUUUUCUGCUGCAUAUUAACAUGUUUCGUUAAUUUUUAGACAAGUACAAACUGACUAACUAAUAACAACAUAUUUGUUUGCAAAUAGAAAAUGAUAAGAUGUAACGUUUAUUAUGUAAAAAUGGAUUUAUGCGCUUAUUGUCCACGGUUUGGCUUACUUGUUUGGUAUGCAAUGUGCUUGUGGUUCAUAACUGUCCACUGCACCAUUGGAUAAUAGCUAAUGUAAUAAGGAAGGAAAUUUACUUUGAUUCAGGGUCUGGUAGAUAUGUCAUAUAUAUGAUCUUGGAAUUUUGAUAGGCGUUUGUUGACAAACAUGCAAGAUCUAUUUUCUGUGUUUCCAACCUGCAUGUUUGGCUACAAUGGCUUGAUCAGAGAUGUGAGGAAUAUAUCAAUUGUUUCCCGUGGUAUUUGCCAUAUUUUUGUUUCAUACAUCUCCAAUUCGUCACUUUUUAGUUCCCAAGAUGCUGCUGAAAUGCAGAUUGUAUGUGCAUCCUUGGUAGAGUAAUGCAUACAUGGAGUGUGUUCAUUUUUUAGAAACUGAAGAUUAAUACAAAGUUAUAUGGUUUUAUUUUUUGGGUCAAAAGUUUGAUUUAUGCAGUACACCAAUUAAUUCUCGAUACAUUUCGCGUAUUCAGCUUUUUGAUUAACUAUACAAAGUGCUCAUCUUGCUUCGGAUUCAAGUGAUCAGAUCUUGAUGAGAAGCAUGGCUGAAUGCACCUCCAACCACUAGAUUUCUGUGCCAAAAGUUUGAUUGAUGUAAUUCUCAAUGCAUCUAAGAACAUAUCAAAACAAUAGGCAAACCAUAAAGGGUGAUUUGGUGGAAUAUGUAUCCUGGUUACUACAAGAAAUCACUCAAGCAUGCUCGUACCUGCAGCCCUCAGUGGCGAGACAAAGGAUUCAGCCAUGGGAAGCGUUCUUGCCAAGUACAUACGGUUGGAUCUUGUGGCUCCUCCGUUGCACCAUGGAAUCGGCUUGACAAGCAGCGCACGUUGAACAGCGACAAGCAUGGCUAAUGACACAACCUAACCCUAUUGGUCAGCUCUCCGUGAAUACAUAGGUUCGUAUCACAUUUAUCCCCGCCAAGGUGAGCUUCACCAACUCCAAUCAUCCAUCUUCCCAUUAUUUCUCUGGGAAAAGUGAUGGAUAUGGUCGUUUGAGAUUUUCGUAUUAAUGUUUUGCUUUGGCCUGCUUCGUUCUGUUUAAUAGAUGCUUAUCUAAUUUGUAAAAAUAGUGUCCUGGCUUCAUGAAUUAUCUGAGAGUGUUGGAAAGCUUCACUUGGAAAGAACAACCUGCCCUAUGGACCGCAGUUUCAUUUUUAUUAGGUUCUUGAGAUAUGUUAUUUGCAGGGAGCAUCUUGAUUUCUUCAGUUGCAAUUGUUUUGUUCAUUUCCUUUUUGUCUUCUUGAUUGGCUCAUCAUGCUCAUCGUGAAAGGAUGAGAGUUUAUCCAUCUUUCAGUAUUCACCGGAUUUGAGGAUGUGCGCCUUCUUUAUAUAAGACUGAACAAAAAAUUGCACAACCAUCUUGCUUGAAGAUUGCAGCACACAUAGAUUGCUUGGCAGACUAAAAUAAGUAGGAGCUUCUAAUUGGACCCUUCAAGCAACAGUGUUGUUAAUAUAUUAGUUAUUAUAUUAUGUUACUAGAGUAUUAGAAUAACUUCCUGAUAACUAUAUCGUACAUUUGAUAACCUGACUCCUUCAAUGAUAGAGAGAGCUACAUAGAGGUUUGACUGAGCGAGAUGGGGUUGACGGACAAGAAGAGGAACCAGAGGGGGGGGGUGCUCUUGCGGUGCUUGGCUUGUUCCAAGACCAUGAGGGGAAGGACUUGCUGGUGCGUGCUAUGAAUUGUUUUUGGUAUAUCUGUCUUUGAACAGGUUUAUGUGAUUGGCGGGGAUGGAACAAUGAGAGGAGCAGUGGCCAUAUUCGAAGAGUUUAAACGGUGUGGUUUGAGGAUAUCCAUUACAGGGAUCCCAAAAAACUUGGACAACGACAUCGACAUUAUAGACAAGGCGUUUGGGUUUCAAGCCGCAGUGGAGAGUGCUCAGUAGGAAAUCAAUGCGACACAUGUGGGGUUGUGAAUAUUGUGGAUGGCAUUGGUCUUGUCAAACUUAUGGGAAGGAGCACGGGCCACAUUACUCUUCAUGCGACCCUGAGCAGCCUGAGAUGUUGACUGUUGUUUGAAUCCUGAGAUCGAUUUUCAUGUUGACGGGAAGGGGCAUGUUGUCGUUGUUGUUGCUCAAGGCGCUGGUUAGGAGUUGAUUCCCCGGAUUGAUGACCAGAAGUGAGAGCAGGAUGAGUAUGGCAACAUGUUGUUCCUUAGCGUUGGCCUUCUUCUAUAAAGUUUACAUACAAUUCACAUGCAUGGUUAAAAAAGCUACUAUACUAAUGUAAAUGUGCUGUUUCUUUGAAGAUUACUCAUUUCGCUUACCGUUGUUGUAUCAAAACAAUUGUGUUUUGGCUGCUUGCGCUCAUUUCAUAGGAGAUUGAGAUGUGGGACAAGCUACUAUCAAAUGUUUGGUUCCCAUCAAA